rnacentral:lncRNA from 1 species
AUACCAGCUGCCUGCCCCUCCUGCAGCCCACUCGGGACGUGGACCUCAUCCUGUCAUUGGACUACAACCUCCACGGAGCCUUCCAGCAGUUGCAGCUCCUGGGCCGGUUCUGCCAAGAGCAGGGGAUCCCGUUCCCGCCCAUCUCGCCCAGCCCCAAAGAGCAGCUCCAGCCUCGGGAGUGCCACACCUUCUCCCACCCCACCUGCCCUGGAGCCCCUGCGGUGCCGCACUUUCCUCUGGUCAGCGACUCCUUCCGGGAGUACUCGGCCCCUGGUGAGCUGCUGUUUACCUCCCCAUCCUGCUGCCCCAGUCCCCCACACCUCCUCCGUCCCCUGUGCCUCUCCAAACCCGUCUUCCCCACGCCACGCUGCACUCUCUCCACAGGGAUCCGGCGGCCACCCGAGGAGGCGGCAGUUGGGGAGGUGAACCUGUCUUCAUCGGACUCUCCCUACCACUACACGAAGGUGACCUACAGCCAGGAGGACGUGGACAAGCUGCUGCACCUGACACAUUACAAUGUCUGCAACAACCAGGAGCAGCUGCUGGAGGCUCUGCACCAGGCAGUGCAGCGGAGGCGGCAGCGCAGGCCCCACUGAUGGCUGGGGCCCCUGCCACCCCUAACUAACUAACUCUCAUUCAUUCCCUGGCUGCUGAGUUGCAGGUGGGAACUGUCAUCACGCAGUGCUUCAGAGCCUCGGGCUCAGGUGGCACUGUCCCAGGGUCCAGGCUGAGGGCUGGGAGCUCCCUUGCGCCUCAGCAGUUUGCAGUGGGGUAAGGAGGCCAAGCCCAUUUGUGUAAUCACCCCAAACCCCCCGGCCUGUGCCUGUUUUCCCUUCUGCGCUACCUUGAGUAGUUGGAGCACUUGAUACAUUACAGACUCAUACAAAUGUGAGGCGCUGAGAAGGGCCAUGUCAUUCUAGGCUCUUGGCUGUACAUGGCAAGGGCUGGUACAGAGCUCGCUCAUCAGUGUUCUUCCUCCGAAGAGCACAUUCUCUGCACACAUCUGCGUCUACCUGUGCUCAGAGUCACCCCUUCCAAGCAAGGAGGCGGCCACAUGGGCCUGGGGUAGCCCUGGCCUUGCCCACCUGCUCUGCCGUAACACGUCUCCUCUUCAUCCAGACAGGAAUGCAGGGGGAGACCAGGCAAUGGCUGUUUCCUGCCACAUGGUAGGACCCAUCUAACCAGAAGGAACUGUCUAUUCCAGAAGCUGGGCCUGGGGAACUGGGUUGAAGGAGCCCUUUUGCCUGUAGCUGAGUCUCAUUCUGGUUCCUUAGAUGUGUCCUCGCUUGUGCCCCUGAAGUUUGGUGUUGCACUGGGGUUCACCUCAGGGAUCAGACCUGUUGGGAAAACGGAAUGAAUUUAGUAGGGUAUGGCCACCCCAGAAUCUUCUCCAAACAAACAAACACUGGUGCCCCUGCCCUCCCCUGGACCAGCCAGCCUCCUAGAA